GACGAACGCUGGCGGCGUGCUUAACACAUGCAAGUCGAACGGAAAGGCCCUGCUUUUGUGGGGUGCUCGAGUGGCGAACGGGUGAGUAACACGUGAGUAACCUGCCCUUGACUUUGGGAUAACUUCAGGAAACUGGGGCUAAUACCGGAUAGGAGCUCCUGCUGCAUGGUGGGGGUUGGAAAGUUUCGGCGGUUGGGGAUGGACUCGCGGCUUAUCAGCUUGUUGGUGGGGUAGUGGCUUACCAAGGCUUUGACGGGUAGCCGGCCUGAGAGGGUGACCGGCCACAUUGGGACUGAGAUACGGCCCAGACUCGUACGGGAGGCAGCAGUGGGGAAUAUUGCACAAUGGGCGGAAGCCUGAUGCAGCAACGCCGCGUGCGGGAUGACGGCCUUCGGGCUGUAAACCGCUUUCGCCUGUGACGAAGCGUGAGUGACGGUAAUGGGUAAAGAAGCACCGGCUAACUACGUG
rnacentral:rRNA from 1 species